rnacentral:rRNA from 1 species
AUUGAACGCUGGCGGCAGGCCUAACACAUGCAAGUCGAGCGGAUGAAGGGAGCUUGCUCCUUGAUUCAGCGGCGGACGGGUGAGUAAUGCGUAGGAAACUGCCUGGUAGUGUUGGAUUACGUCCGGGAACGGGCGCUAAUACCGCAUACGUCCUGAGUGAGGCAGUGGGGGAUCUUCGGACCUCACGCUAUCAGAUGAGCCUACGUCGGAUUAGCUAGUUGGUGGGGUAAAGGCCUACCAAGGCGAUGGUCCGUAACGGGUGUGAGAGGGUGAUCAGUCACACUGGAACUGAGACACGGUCCAGACUCCUACGGGAGGCAGCAGUGGGGAAGAUUGGAAACUGGGCGAAAGCCUGAUCCAGCCGUGCCGCGUGUGUGAAGAAGGUCUUCGGAUUGUAAAGCACUUUAAGUUGGGAGGAAGGGCAGUAAGUUAAUACCUUGCUGUUUUGACGUUAGCAACAGAAUAAGCACCGGCUAACUUCGUG